rnacentral:lncRNA from 1 species
CUCUCUUCCAUCUCUUGUAUUCUGUUGCUGAUGCUCAAAUCUAUGGUUCCAGAUUUCUUUCCUAGGGUUUCUAUCUCCAGUGUUGCCUCACUUUGAGUUUUCUUUAUUGUUUCUACUUCCCUUUUUAGGUCUAGUAUGGUUUUGUUGAUUUCCAUCACCUGUUUGUAUGUUUUUUCCUCUUUUUCUGUAAGGACUUCUCCCUGUUUGAUUGUGUUUUCCUGUUUUUCUUUAAGGACUUGUAACUCUUUAGCAGUGUUCUCCUGUAUUUCUUUAAGUGAUUUAUUAAAGUCCUUCUUGAUGUCCUCUACCAUCAUCAUGAGAUAUGCUUUUAAAUCUAGGUCUAGGUUUUCGGGUGUGUUGGGGUGCCCUGGACUGGGCGAAGUGGGAGUGCUGGGUUCUGAUGAUGGUGAGUGGUCUUGGUUCCUGUUAGUAAGAUUCCUACAUUUACCUUUCGCCAUCUGGUAAUCUCUGGAGUUAGUAGUUAUAGUUGACUCUGUUUAGAGAUUGUUCUUCUGGUGAUUCUGUUACCGUCUCUCAGCAGACCUGGGAGACAGAUUCUCUCCUCUGAGUUUCAGUGCUCAGAGCACUCUCUGCUGGCAAGCUCUCUUACAGGGAAGGUGCGCAGAUAUCUUGUUUUUGGACCUCCUCCUGGUCGAAGAAGAAGGCCCAAAACAGGGCCUCUCUCAGAAGCUGUGUUGCUUUGGCAGUUCCCAGAAGCUGUCAGCUUCUGUGGUGCAGACUCUCACCUGUGCAGACUAAAAUCCUAAGUUCCAGGGAGUCCUGGAACCAAGAUGGUGACCGCUGCUCCUGAGGCUGAGGCCGUCUCCCGAGCCAGGCGGACACCUGUCCUCUGGUCCGGAUGGUGGCCGGUUGUCUGCGGCCCGCCCAGGCUGCUGCCUCAGCGGCUCUGUGCUUCUGCCCGUCCCAGAAGCUGUCCGGUUCUCUGGCGCACCCUCUAACCUGUUCAGACUAAUUUCCUAGGUCCCGCGGAGUCCCGGAACCAAGAUGGUGACCGCUGCUGCUGAGGCUGAGGCCGCCUCCCAAGCCAGGCGGACACCUGUCCUCUGGUCCGGAUCGUCCUUUGUUUUUCAAUGUUACUUAAUAAAGGAAAUUACAUUCACUUUGCUAAGG